UGAAUACGAGAUGCUACGGCGUCGAAGCAGUCUAUGUCAUACUUCCAAAAAGCUCGCACUGUCAUAAACAAAUAAUGCCUGUACCAUAACCGACACAGGUGGGUAGGUAGAGUAUACUAAGGGGCGCGAGAUAACUCUCUCUAAGGAACUCGGCAAAAUGACUCCGUAACUUCGGGAGAAGGAGUGCCUUAUUUAUAAGGUUGCAAUAACAAGAUCCAAGCAACUGUUUAUCAAAAACACAGGUCUCCGCUAAGUCGUAAGACGAUGUAUGGGGGCUGACGCCUGCCCAGUGCCAGAAGGUUAAAGAAGUUGGUUAGCAUUCGCGAAGCUGAUAACUGAAGCCCUGGUGAACGGCGGCCGUAACAAUAACGGUCCUAAGGUAGCGAAAUUCCUUGUCGGGUAAGUUCCGACCCGCACGAAAGGCGUAAUGAUUUGGAUACUGUCUCGGAGAGGGGCUCGGUGAAAUAGACUUGUCUGUGAAGAUGCGGACUACCUGCACCAGGACAGAAAGACCCUAUGAAGCUUUACUGUAACUUGAGAUUGAAAUUGGACUUUACUUGCGCAGUAUAGGUGGGAGGCGUUGAUAAUAUUCUUGCGGGAUUAUUUGAGCCAUCAGUGAGAUACCACUCUUGUAAUGUUAGAUUUCUAACUUUGUAUCAUUAUCUGGUCAAAGGACAGUUUCAGGCGGGCAGUUUGACUGGGGCGGUCGCCUCCUAAACGGUAACGGAGGCGCACAAAGGUUUCCUCUGAACGGGUAGAAAUCGUAUCUAGAGUGUAAAGGCAUAAGGAAGCUUGACUGUGAGACCUACAAGUCGAGCAGGGACGAAAGUCGGUCUUAGUGAUCUGACGGUGCUGAGUGGAAAGGCCGUCACUCAACGGAUAAAAGUUACUCUAAGGAUAACAGGCUGAUCUCCCCCAAGAGUUCACAUCGACGGGGAGGUUUGGCACCUCGAUGUCGGCUCAUCGCAUCCUGGGGCGGUAGUACGUCCCAAGGGUUGGGCUGUUCGCCCAUGAAAGCGGUACGCGAGCUGGGUUCAGAACGUCGUGAGACAGUUCGGUCCAUAUCCGGUGUAGGCGUUAGAAUAUUGAGAGGAGCCUUCUUUAGUACGAGAGGACCGAGAAGGACAUACCUCUGGUGUACCAGUUAUCGUGCCAACGGUAAACGCUGGGUAGCUAUGUAUGGAGUGGAUAACCGCUGAAAGCAUCUAAGUGGGAAGCCCACCUCAAGAUAAG
rnacentral:rRNA from 1 species